GACGAACGCUGGCGGCGUGCUUACACAUGCAAGUCGAACAGUAAGGCCCUUCGGGGUACACGAGUGGCGAACGGGUGAGUAACAUGUGGGUGAUCUGCCCUGCACUUCGGGAUAAGCCUGGGAAACUGGGUCUAAUACCGGAUAGGACCCUGGGAUGCAUGUCCUGGGGUGGAAAGCUUUUGCGGUGUGGGAUGGGCCCGCGGCCUAUCAGCUUGUUGGUGGGGUGAUGGCCUACCAAGGCGACGACGGGUAGCCGGCCUGAGAGGGUGACCGGACACACUGGGACUGAGAUACGGCCCAGACUCCUACGGGAGGCAGCAGUGGGGAAUAUUGCACAAUGGGCGCAAGCCUGAUGCAGCGACGCCGCGUGAGGGAUGACGGCCUUCGGGUUGUAAACCUCUUUCAGCACCGACGAAGCGCAAGUGACGGUAGGUGCAGAAGAAGGACCGGCCAACUACGUGCCAGCCGCCGCAGUAA
rnacentral:rRNA from 1 species